rnacentral:rRNA from 1 species
UGCAAAGUCGAACGGGAAGACAUGAAGAGCUUGCUCUUUAUGAAAAUCCAGUGGGCAAAACGGGUGAGUAAACACGUAAAACAAACCUGCCUUCAGGGAUGGGGACAACAGACGGAAACGACUGCUAAUACCGAAUACGAUCUUGAGUCGCAUGACACAAGAAAAGAAAAAGGGUGGCCUCUACUUGUAAGCUAUCGCCUGAAGAGGGGGUUUGCGUCCGAUUAGGUAGUUGGUGAGGUAACGGCCCACCAAGCCCGACGAUCGGUAGCCCGGUCCUGAGAGGAUGAACGGCCACAUUGGAACUGAGACACGGUCCAGACUCCUACGGGAGGCAGCAGUGGGGAAUCUUCCGCAAUGGGCGAAAGCCUGACGGAGCAACGCCGCGUGAGUGAAGACGGCCUUCGGGUUGUAAAACUCUGUGAUUCGGGACGAAAGAUAAGUAGACGAAUAAUCUGCAUAAGUGACGGUACCGAAAAAGCAAGCCACGGCUAACUACGUGCCAGCAGCCGCGGUAAU